rnacentral:rRNA from 1 species
GAUCAUGGCUCAGGAUGAACGCUAGCGGCAGGCUUAACACAUGCAAGUCGAGGGGCAGCGCGGGAUAGCAAUAUCCUGGCGGCGACCGGCGGAAGGGUGCGUAACGCGUGAGCGACAUGCCCGUUGCCCGGGGACAACCGGUGGAAACGCCGACUAAUCCCCGAUGGGAUAUUGUGCCGCAUGGCACGGUAUUGAAAGUUACGGCGGCGACGGAUUGGCUCGCGUCCGAUUAGCUGGUUGGCGGGG